rnacentral:rRNA from 1 species
AAGAUUAAGCCAUGCAUGUCUAAGUAUAAGCACUUUAUACUGUGAAACUGCGAAUGGCUCAUUAAAUCAGUUAUCGUUUAUUUGAUAGUACCUUACUACAUGGAUACCUGUGGUAAUUCUAGAGCUAAUACAUGCUAAAAACCCCGACUUCAGGAAGGGGUGUAUUUAUUAGAUAAAAAACCAACGCCCUUCGGGGCUCCUUGGUGAAUCAUAAUAACUUAACGAAUCGCAUGGCCUUGCGCCGGCGAUGGUUCAUUCAAAUUUCUGCCCUAUCAACUUUCGAUGGUAGGAUAGUGGCCUACCAUGGUGG